rnacentral:rRNA from 1 species
AACAAACGCUGGCGGCGUGCCUAACACAUGCAAGUCGUACGAGAAAGUCGGCUUCGGCCGAUGAGUACAGUGGCGCACGGGUGAGUAACGCGUGGGUAAUCUGCCCCCCGGUCAGGAAUAACCCGCCGAAAGGCGGGCUAAUACCCGAUAACACUGACGCUCUGCGGAGUGUCUUUCAAAGAAGGCCUCUGUUUACAAGCUUUCGCCGGAGGAUGAGCCCGCGUACCAUUAGCUAGUUGGCAGGGUAAUGGCCUACCAAGGCAACGAUGGUUAGCUGGUCUGAGAGGAUGGCCAGCCACACUGGAACUGAGACACGGUCCAGACUCCUACGGGAGGCAGCAGUGAGGAAUCUUGCGCAAUGGGGGAAACCCUGACGCAGCAACGCCGCGUGAGUGAGGAAGGCCUUCGGGUCGUAAAGCUCUGUCAGAUGGGAAGAAAUGGGUGGGGGCUAAUAUCGUCCAUCCUUGACGGUACCAUCAGAGGAAGCACCGGCUAACUCCGUG